rnacentral:rRNA from 1 species
UACGUAGGUGGCAAGCGUUAUCCGGAAUUAUUGGGCGUAAAGCGCGCGUAGGCGGUUUUUUAAGUCUGAUGUGAAAGCCCACGGCUCAACCGUGGAGGGUCAUUGGAAACUGGAAAACUUGAGUGCAGAAGAGGAAAGUGGAAUUCCAUGUGUAGCGGUGAAAUGCGCAGAGAUAUGGAGGAACACCAGUGGCGAAGGCGACUUUCUGGUCUGUAACUGACGCUGAUGUGCGAAAGCGUGGGGAUCGAAACAGAUUAGAUACCGUAUC